UGUAGCGGUCUGCCGCUACCCGGAAGCGGACUUGACGCACAGUGCGUCGGUGACCGGAAGGGGCGGGGUGUAUCCGCUGGCACCUCUAGAAGCCAUGGAGGGUCGGGAGCCGCUGCUGGUCCUGCGUGGCGCGCUACGGGCGGUGCUGGCACGGGUCCGAGAGGGCGAACCGGGCGAGGGCCGUGAGCCGUUCGAACUGCCGCUCUUCUGGGACGCGCUAGGUCAGACAUUCAAAGUAACAUCACAAGAAGCUACAAAGCUGAGUCUGGCAUUCUCAAGGCCUCCACUGACUUCUGCUGAGGAUUGCCAGAAGCUGAGUGAAGACGUCCAAAAUGCCAUUCUUGCAGUUGCCACAGUGUACUACUGGCUCCCCAAAGGCCAAGGUACUACUCUUCGGAAGAUGGUACGAGAUGCUACCACUGAAGUAGUGCAAGGAAUGAUCCAACUCACAGAAACAAUUCUCAGUGCUCCAUUGGAGAGCUUGUCUCAGGAGCAGCUUGUAUCAACUGGUGGUGUGUGGGAGGCAUGUGAACAAGUGUCCAGUCUUCCACGAGAUAACCAGGCAGCAGUUGCGUCAACUCUGGCUGCAUGUCUGGGUGUGGUGAAGGAUGCUCUGGAGGAGAUGGAGCAUGCCCUGGUGGAAGGGCAAGACCCAUACAGUGACAUCAUGGAAGAUGAAGAGCUGGGCUUUCGAGGUAACAGAGAUACAUAUUGGUCAGAAGCUGACCGGAAGCUGCUUGGCUCCUGCAUGGGAUUAAUGAAGGCUUCUAAAGCUUGCCUGAAGAAGGUCUUGGGUGUAGUGAAGGCUUAUGGGAAAGCUGAUUCUCCAGACCAGAUUGCUCAGCUGGACGAUCUUGCAGACAUUGCUAAUGAGAUCAGUCCAAGUGUUGAUGAGCUGGCACUGAGUAUGUAUCCACCUAUGAACCAGCUGGCUGUGCGGCUUAAUGCUGCUAAGUUGGCCUCGGUAUUAAAGAAAGUCUUAGAGAUUACAAGGUGCCAGUUGGUACUUGGCUGCGUUGCAGCUAUAAAAAGUGAGAAGAGCAAGAAAACUUGAAGAGGGACAUCCAAGGGGGAAGGAGCACAGACACACUCUCAAGAAUUGCAUGUUACUUUCUACAGAGAAGUUGUGAUCUUUCAGUGUCCAUUACAGAGCUGAGUAUGAGGUGUGGAUGUAAGAAAAUAACAAGCAGCACCACAGAAGGGGCUUCCUCCUUGCUCACCUUGGCCCAUAUCUGAUCAAUAUGUCCUGUAUAAGCAGCUCUGAAGCUUUCCUCUGAAUGGCCUCCUUUACUUCUGUUGUCUCACAGAAUGGCCGGUGCCUUUCACUUGUUUAAAAGUCUAGGUGUAAAGGUGCCUGUUUGCAAUAUUUCCUGUGGGGUGGAGCUUGAAUAACCUUCUUUUCUCCCCAGCCUUUAUCUUACCAACAAGGCUUGAGGAUUCAUUUUUCAUUCAUUUUUUCACUCUCUUAGUCCCCACAUCCUGAUCUCAUUUCCUUGCAAUUUAACAACUGAAGCUUGGACAACAUUUAUUCCUAACAGUCUGGCCAUUCAAGAGUUUCUUAAUGUAUUCAGACUUAAAAGAAUAUUGGCAUUUAGCUGCUUUUCUUUCUGUUACAAUUAUAAAUUUACAGGAACAGCAUAAUUACUUCUUGCACCACAUUGUUUUUAACUUGUAAUACUUCAUGAGCAACAUUUACAGUGACUUCUUUAAAUUAAUUCACUGAAUCCAUUGUUUUCCACACGCUGAUUAUUUUUUUUCCUGCUGCAUUGUAAUAAUCACAAAGCAAUGAGCAAGCUGUUGCCUCUGCCCCAAAUUUAAUCAGGCUAAAGAACCAAUUUUUCACUUAUCACAUAAUUACUCUUUAACAAUGUCAAACAGACAAGCACUCCAUGUCAUAUUUGCAUGACACACUACAGAGAUGAUAGGUAAGUUCAUUUGUGACUUGUAAUAAAAUAGCUAUCAUUGUUUUCAGCUGGUAUACUACUAUUUUUUUUUUCAUAGGAUAUCUCAGAACAUGCAACUGGCAAUGCCAAUUUGUGUACAAAAAUCUUCUCCUUAAUUUCAAGGAGAGUGAUUUUUGCUUAUGCUUUGCAGGUGGCUCCACUUUCUGUUAAGAGGGAGACUAAUUCUGAUACUUUUAUGAAACAACCUGUAAAAUUUCUCGUACUCAGUGCACAGCCUUAAGGAUGCCUCUGAGUGAUACUCAUUAUGCUGGACUGCUCACAGCUAUGUGCCUUCCCAAAUUCAGAGUUUCAAUUAGCUGUGCUCAGUAUUCAGCAGCCCACAUUGUUCCGUUUUCAGGUUUGGAUUAUGUUUGGAAACUCUAGAAUUGGAACUUGGUCAGCCCAUUUCAUAUACAGACAUAUUUUAAUCAUAUUUUGCAUAAAAGAGUGUUAUUAGAGCAAACAUUUUUUAACUGGGUAUGAUUCAGACUACUGCUUUGAAUUUCUGUUUAUUAAUAAUAUUUAGUCUUAAGAGGGACUAUAUUUUUAUCAUACACAAAGCCCAACUGUGAUUUAAAAAUUGUAAUACUUUAAUUCUAAAAUUUAAAUUUCUUAGAAUUUAAUUUUAAAAUGUUAAGUCCGAACUUCAGAGAUUAAAAGAUGUUAAGCUACACUCUCCUACCCAUACUUUUAAAUUCUCUUAAAUGACACACUAACAAUUUUUAGAAUAGAUUUUAUUUAAUAUUUCAGCCUAUCCUUGGAUACAUAGAAACUGUUUCUCUUUGUGUCAAGAUUAGUUACUGUUGAAAGAAAGAAAAAAAAGGAAAGAAAAGAGAAGUCAGCAGUUAUUCACCAUAUAGCUGCUGAUGCUGAUUUGGUCACAUAUUUUGCCUUUUUUGUGUGAUGGCAGUAGUGUGCUGGAUAUCACUGUCCUCUAUCAGUCAAUGGCAUAAUUGGUUUUGGUAUUUGAUGGUAUGAUAGUACAGUUAUAAACAGUAUGUUCUAAAAACCAGAUGCAGUCCAUUUAUUCUGGAAGAUAAUAUGUCAAGGAGAAUAAGUUGUGUCUGUUACUUCAGCUUCUGGUGCUUAUCACCAGCUCUGGCUAAGUUGCCUUUCAGAUCUCUCCUGUGCUUUGUUUGUGAAACAGAUGAAUGAUACAUAACGGACUGUGGGAUUAAAGAUUAUGGGCAAAGCUUGCGAAUGAGGGUUGAAUUAAUGUGAAAUAUGAGAAAUAUUAACACUAGUCAGAAUACUAGUCAAACAAAAUGCAUCUGACCCAGAUUGUUUCCUGUAAGACAAGUGGUAUUUGCAGAGCUUGCAUGGUGGCUGUAAAUGUAACGAUUGCACAGCUAGGUGCUUGAAACUGGUGGACAGCAAGAGAAGAUUCUUUUGGACCUCAAAAAGCAAAAGCUCUAAGACAUUUUAGGAUUUUGUUUCACAUGCCCAGAAUAAACUAUAUCAGGAUCAUAUUUGCAAACUGUUUCUGUCAUAUAACACCCAACAUCCUUUUCCAAAGAUACCCACAUUUCUUUCCUCAUUGCAGUGAUUGUGUUAAAGAAACAUAUAGUAGAAGAGUUCAGAACUGACUAGUGAAGGACAUCUUUUGCAGUAGACUGAUUUCCCACAAUUCUCUCCUUUUUUUGUAUUGCUGUUCUCUUCACCACCAACUCUGUAUGAAUACACAGGAACACUUGAAUUCUAUUAAAUGUUACAUACUAUUAAUUGUGCCUUUGUUUCGGCAUAAGAAAUAAAUCCCUAGAAUAGCC